CCUCCUGGCAGUGGGCAAAGAGACACCUUGUUGGUGCUGUUGCUCUUAUGUCAGUCAAGGACAGAGCAGAUGGCCGUCCUCUAUUCGUCCUGGCUUGAUGCCUGCCUUAGUGGUCAAAGCUAUCUUAUGCCUAGGACUCACAA